AUCCAGCUGACGAGUUCAUAAGAAUACGAGAUGCGCGUCCUGGAU
rfam:Schistosoma curassoni strain Dakar, Senegal genome assembly, scaffold: SCTD_scaffold0010448